rnacentral:rRNA from 1 species
GUGGGGAAUAUUGGACAAUGGGCGAAAGCCUGAUCCAGCCAUGCCGCGUGUGUGAAGAAGGUCUUCGGAUUGUAAAGCACUUUAAGUUGGGAGGAAGGGCAGUAAGUUAAUACCUUGCUGUUUUGACGUUACCGACAGAAUAAGCACCGGCUAACUUCGUGCCAGCAGCCGCGGUAAUACGAAGGGUGCAAGCGUUAAUCGGAAUUACUGGGCGUACAUCGCGCGUAGGUGGUUUUGUAAGUUGGAGGUGAAAUCCCCGGGCUCAACCUGGAAACUGCCUCCAAAACUGCAUGACUAGAGUAAGGGAGAGGGUAGUGGAAUUUCCUGUGUAGCGGGGAAAUGCGUAGAUAGAGGAAGGAACACCAGUGGCGAAGGCGACUACCUGGACUGAUACUGACACUGAGGUGCGAAAGCGUGGGGAGCAAACAGGAUUAGAAACCCCAGUAGUCC